rnacentral:lncRNA from 1 species
AGAACUACAAAAGAGGUCAAAGGGGGCAAACAAGAGAUUUUAAAAUAUUUGGUUUUAAAGGAUAUGAGUAGUAGGAUACCAAAGCCUGAGGGUGCACAGCUGAGGUCAAUUGGUAUUAAUUGCUAACACCUAGAGGUAAUUAGCAAUAAUUACCCAAAGGAGGGAAGGGAGCAGCCAGAAGGACUUAAAGGCAGUAUUUCCAGGAACUCCUACCACACUGGGAACCUAAUAGUUUCUCAGUAAGAGGAAAUAAAUGUUUUCCACAGCAAUUUGUUUAGUUUUUAAAUUGCACUACAAAGAAACGCCUGAGGGAAGCUUAUGUAUAUACUAUUAAAACUUGUAGGUCCUCCUAUCCAGAGGUGAAGAUUUUUGCCCAUCCAUUGAGUCUGAGCUGGUCUUAUGAUUUGCUGUAACUAGAAGAGUGCAGGGAAAGUGAAAUUUACAUUACUUCUGUUGCUGGGUCUUAAAAGACCUUGCAGCCUCCACUUAGACCUUUUAGGAAUGCUGUGCUGAGAUCAUCUUGUGAGGAAGCUGGUCUAGCCUACUGGAGGAUGAGCAAAGUUGCAUAGAAGAUCCCGGCAUCCAGACGGAUGGCACCAACUCCAGAUGCUUUUUUGGAAGAUUAGCCUUGAACUAACUUCAUGCCACCAAUCCUCCUCUUCUUGCUGAGGAAGCCAGGCCCUGAGCUAACAUCCGUGCCCAUCUUCCUCUAGUUUAUAUGUGGGACGCCUGCCAAAGCAUGACUCGAUGAAGAGUGUGUAGGUCUGCACCCGGGACCCAAAUCGGUGAACCUUGGGCCACCGAAGCAGAACGCGCAAACUUAACCACUGCACCACCAGAUGUCACACCAUCCCUGCAUCUCUGGAAUGAAUCCCACCUGAUCAAGGGUAAUGAAGGCUUCAUAGAAGGAGUUAGGAAGACUCCCCUCCUCUUCAAUUUUUUGGAAGACUUUGAGAAGGAGAACCUCUUUGUGAGAAGGCUGGUCCAUACCAAGGUUCUAAUCUGCAAUUAUCUAGAAGAACAAAGCCUGUCCAGAAGAUAUUGAACUUACAACAGUUGUCUACAAUCAUAUUUUUCUAAAUGAAGAUUUGCCAAGUCAGCAUCCAAUUGCUUUCCUUUCCUUGUAUUUUUCUAUAGUGCUUUGGCAUUUGUGAAAUGCUUUUACAUUCUGCAUUUUAUUUACCUUUACUUUUGACAUAGAAAUCUAGGUUGGCAGGUUUGGUUUUUAUAUUUCCCCAGCUCUUUAAAUUUGUCUUCCCAUUUUUUGUGUUCUAGUUGUUUUUAUUGAGAAGCCAUUUAUCAGUCUAGUUGUUCCUUUGAAGGAGAUAUAUAUCCAACCCCUCCACCCUAGCUGCUUUAAAGAUUUUUUCUUUGUCUUUGACUUAUAGCAGUUUGACUCUGAUGUGCCUAGGUGUGGUUUUCUGUGUAUUGAUCCUGCUUGGAAGGUUCUUGAAUCUGUGACUUGUUGACUUGAUUAGUUUUGGAAAAUUUUGGCUAUCAUUUCAUUAAAUAUUGUUUUUAUUCUAUCCUCUUUCUUGUUUCCUCUCCUGGGAUUCCAAAUAGAUUUCCCAUAUGUGCUAUAUGUAUUUUUCUGAUUUUUCCACCUUUUAUUUUCUCUCUGUGAUUUAAUCUGGAUAUUUUCUAAUAACAUUUUUUAAAGACUUUUUUUUUUUGGAAGCAGUUUUAGAUUUACAAUAAAAUUGAGAGGAAGGUACAGAGAUCUCCCACAUAGUCUCUGACUGCACACACGCAUAGCCUCCAUCAUUAUCAACAUCACUCACCAGAGUCAUUUGUUACCGAGGAUGAACCUACAUUGAUACAUCAUAAUCAUCCAAAGUCCAUAGUUUACCUUAGGGUUCGCUCUUGGUGUUGUACAUUCCAUGGGUUUGGACAAAUGUAUAAUGACAUAUAUCCAUCAUUAUAAUAUCAUACGGAGUAUUUUCAUUGCCUUAAAAAUCUUAUGUGCUCUAUCCAUUCAUCCUUUCCCUCACCUCACCCCAGGAAACCACUGAUAUUUUUACCAUCUCAGUAGCUAUACCUUUUCCUGAAUGUCAUAUAGUUGGAAUCAUAUGAUAUGUACCUUUCUUGGAUUGAAUUCUUUCAUUUAGUAAUAUGCAUUUAAGAUUCCUCUGUAUCUUUUCACGGCUUGAUAGUUCAUUUCUUCUCAGCGCUGAAUAAUGUUCCAUUGUCUGGAUGUACCAUAGUAUAUUUAUCCAUUCAU